rnacentral:lncRNA from 1 species
CUGUAUUACAACCUGUAGCAUUAUAAUGUUUCACUUACAAAAAUAAGUACAUAUGAAAUUUAUCUCCCUAAAAAAAUAGGUUAAAUUAAAUGUUUUGCUUAUAGUCUGUAUUAAUAAAGCUGGAUGUUUGGGGAGUUUAAUUCUGAUGGUUUCCUGCCUAGCUUAGCAUGUAACAGUUCAGUUCCAUAGUAACUAUUUUCCAUCCUGCAGGCUCAGGUGUUACAAUAUAACCGUGCAUGAUACAUUGGACAAGUUCUGACCUGCAUCAUACUUUACAUUGCCACCACUGGGUAAAGCUUUCUAAACCUAGACUGAUUCUCCUAUAAGCUCGUCAUGGAAGACUUUUGUGUCCAACUGGGAUGAGAGCGACAGAGAAUAUUGUGACACCAUGGAGGAGAUUUACAGAAAUGUGUCUAAUAGAGAGAUUGGACAAGGUUUUAAUAACUAAGAAAGCCAAUUAAAACUAACUGCUGGUCCAGUUCUAAAAAGUGCCUCCCCCUACCGCACAAAUCUAAAUUAUAUAGAUAUACACUGUCAUGAGAAAAAGAAUAUAAACUCUCUUUAAAUUCAAUGGUUUUACAUGUCAGGACAUAACAAUCUUUGAUCUCCCCACCGGCCCGAGAAAGGCACACAGCAAGUAUGCGGGCCCAGCUCUCCAUGGGCCGACAGGGGAGAUGAAGACUUGUCAGUCUCUACGGGGCCCCUAUGCUCAUGGGGCCCCCGGGCAUCUGCCCAGAUUUCCCAUGCAGUAAGAAAGUCCUGUUGCCAGAAGAAUGUCUCUACUCUCUAAAAAAGAACAUGGCAGCAUGGCUUAGGUUUGCAAAGUAGUAUCUGAAGAAAUCACAAGACGUCUGGAGAUAUGUCCUUUGGCCAGAUGACACCAAAGUAGAGAUGUUUGACCACAAUGCACAGUGCCUCAUCUGUCUAAAACCACACACAGCACAUCAGCACAAACACCUCAUGCCAACUGUCAAGCACGGUGGUGGAGAGGUGAUGAUCUGUUUUGCAGCCACAGGGCCUGGAAAUCUUGCAGUCAUUGAGUCAAUCAUGUAUAUACCUAAGGAUUCUAGAGUCAAAUGUGAAGCCAUCUGCUAAGGUUGGGCCGAAAUUGGGUCAUGCGACAGGACAAUGAUCACAAGCACACCAGCAAAUCUACAAACAAAAUGGCUGAAAAAGAAAAGAAUCAAGGUGUUGCAAUGGCUCAGUCAAAGUCCAGACUUUAAUCCGAUUGAAAUGCUAUGGCGGGACCUUAAGGCAUAAAUAAAUGCCAGCAUACCUCAAUGAGCUGAAGCAACGUUGUUGUAACAAAACCCCUCUCUGAUUGCAGUAGUUAUGGUGGUUUUUGACUUCCCUAUAGUGAUUAAGGUGUGGUUCUCCUUUCUGAUAUUUUAUGGCAACAAAACAAAGGACUCGUCCCUGGACUUCGUUUUCCCCUUGUCAUUGCUUGGAUUUUAUUUAAGACACUAGUUCUGCCCCUUUAAAUAAUAUUGGAACGGUUCUACACUUUUGAAGUGGCAGUUCGGAUACAGCCGAAGUGGCCGCCAUUCGAACACGUGGUGGCAGCCAUUUUAAUUCAGUUGAACGCUUUCAGCGGUGUUUGGUUGUCGAGUUUAUGGAACUCAAAUCGGACAUGCGACGCCACAAACACCACUGAACUUUACCUUCUCCAGAACUUUGACGGGAGUCGAACAGUGUUCGACAAUACGAACGACACUUAAAACUUGGUUAUUUGCACAAACGGCCACGUUCCUGGAUUCAAACAGAACUUAGUAUUGAAAAUAGACCAGGCGCACAGUCUAAAUCUGUGGCACUAUUUUGGGCAUGAAAGCCAUGCUUGCGGUCGGUGAAGAGAGACUUCCAUAAAACUUUUGAACUCCUGCUCUGAUCUGGGUGAUUUUUGGAUAUGUUGUUUGCCCAGAUCAGAGCUAUCCAGGGAUGCAUAUUUUGUGGGGAUAUGUUGGAGUUUUGGGGUGUUUCUGAACUUUGG